GACAAGCUUUUGGGAAACGGUACA
rnacentral:siRNA from 1 species